AGUAUGAACCGAAGUCGCCCCAGAUUAUCGAUUAGCUUCUCCUUGAGUUGUCGUUUGUAAAAAAAAAAAGCGGAAUAUCAAUAAUCAAAGAAAAGUUCUCUAUAGAACAUUCAAUUUGGUUUAAUUCAGCAGAUCAUCAUUGUACAGGGAAUCUGCAGCUGGACCAGCAGAGGGAUUCGGAUCAAAUGCCAAACCAUAUACAUGUUCUUCUCUGCCGUCCUUGAAGAGGAUCGACAAGUUCCAUAGUUCCAUCUCAUCUAUUCUAUUCAUGUCGGACAACAUCUGGAUUUCAAUUUGCAAUUCCAGGAAAGUUUCACCUUCCCUCCAUGAUACAUCACAGAUUUUAUUUAAGACUUACAGGAAAACACACUCCCUUGUUUGAUUAUGGGUGUUGGUCAGUGGUCAGUUCUACAGUCAGGAACUAGAAGAGCUGUUCUCAAGUUACCAGUGGAAAGCCGACACAUCCCAUUAUCUUCUCAAUGUACUUCUCCAGUUACCAGUGGAAAGCAGACACAUCCCAUUAUCUUCUUUAUGUACUUCUCCAGUUAGUUGUGGAAAGCGGACACAUCCUAUUAUCUUCUCAAUGUACUUUUCCUUCUCAUCUGCUACGAGAUGGCUAAUGAGAUCAACUGCCGUCAUGAAAACGUCCAUCUCCAAUUCAAUAUUUAGACUGUCAUCAGACAAGCUGUUUCCUGCCGUCAUGAAAACGUCCAUCUCAGAUUCAACAUUUAGACUGUCAUCAGACAAGCUGUUUCUAUGUCUAAGCCCAGGAAAUCUUUGCUUUUUCUCCAAGGCAAGCCAUGAACUGUUUACCAAGCAGUUUCAGUGUCCAAGCCAAGGAAAUCUUCACUCUUUCUCCAAACCAUAAUUUUUUUAACUAAAUCUAAGGACCAUUUCCAUGAUACUUGAAUUUGCAUAUCUGAAUAUACGUGUUUGCUUGUCUUCAUUAUGAGCAGAAUCUUCAGGAGUUCUGCAUUGUCAAGGAUUUUACUUCCUCGUAGCACAGCAUAGUUUUCCCAUUUUAAAGUCACUGCUAAAUUGAGCAGAUGACUGGUCUUACUGAGAUCUAAUGUCAUUUCAUUAACAAUACAUGUAUAUGUGUUGAGUAUACAAAAAAAUUUUGAAGACAAUUUUCCAAUUAUUCCUUCAUCCCAUAAUUAUGUUACAUUCUUUUGAUAAAACUUUAUAUCAUGAUGUAGUUUCAUGAUUAUUGCUUAUGCACAGAAUUUAUUAAAUCAAAUAUAUUUAUUGUACGACAUAUCUUGACCAUGAAACAUGAAUUAAUGUAUGUUGCAAUGACUGCAAUUCUAAUGUCUUUGUGUGCAGUCUUUGUUUUCCAUUCAUAAUUUGUUGGGAGAGAAGCAUCCAUCAAAAAUUAACAGGAUCUGUUAUUAAAAAUUAAUGAAGUUUAACAUGCUGAAAAUUCUGAUCCAUGGAUGUUUUAUCCAGCAACUGAGGCUGAGCUUACCAAAUAGAAUUACUGGUAUUUGGUCGUCAUAUUUGGACUAUUUUGUAUGUAGAAUCUCUCUUUUAGACACUUCUCUCAAAUAAAUGUAAUCUACCAUGCUCUCAGGGCCCAAAAUUGGAAAUAAACUAUUAUUAUUAAUAUAAACCAUUAUUAUUUGUGAGUUACUCAAAUAAAAUUAACAAUUAA